CUUUCUAGUGUCCUUUUAAGUCUGUGUUCAUUUCAAGAGAUGAAUAAGUUUUAGGAAUACUUGCCUUAGUUCCAGCUAUGGUCCUUUAUCUGGUGCUGUUUUAGACCUGAAUCUUUAUUUCUGGAUAAUCUCUUUGGGGGAAAUAUAACUAUAUGAGAACAGGCCUCUUGUUGACCAAUAUGUUGCUGGCUCUGUUGUAGGUGGCACCCAUCGGCCCUGCAGUGCUGGAGCAUUUUUUUUGGAGGAGCUGUAGCCAUCUUCAUGUCUUUGACUGGUACGGAACAAUGAAGGUGUAUAUCUCCUUGGGGAGGGCAUAGUUUGAUUUUCUUGAAAGAACCAGCACAUAACCUUACCAGAUAUAAUAGCCAAUGCCCUGCUCAGUGAUGGAGAUUAGUCAAAAGUACUAUUUACCAGCAAUCUACAGAACAGAAAGACAACAGAAAACAAAGGAAUUGCUAGUUCAUGCAAACCUUACGUCGAUAUUACAAAAGAACCCUGUAAACUUUAAGUUUCAGAAUAACACUCUAUUAUACCUAGUUCCUCACAUGUCAGUGUUUCUUGUUCUUCUAAUAGUCUUGUCAAAGUUGAUAACUCAUGUGCUUAAGGCCAAGCAGGUGCACAAAUGUCUGGACCAAGGUCUAAUACUAUUAAAAAAAUAAAAGUUUAAA